GAACUACCAUUGUAGUAGCUUCCGUCAUCUGUGUCACACAGUCCAAACUUACUACCUGAAAAUACAUUCAGCGAACCUAAUUUAUACGUUAACAAGGACCAUCCUCGGUUUUUUCUGACGGGAGCUGGUCAUGUCGUUCUAAGCUCUACCUCUGAACUAUCCAGAAGCUCCACCUGAAAGCACACCAAGAGAAAAUAUCUUACAGGGGAGCAGCAAGCAAGAGCAAGGACCUUCUUGUCCUUAAGGACGCCGACACACUUGGCAGUUGCUUCUGCUAUGAUGAUGUGUUCUUUGAUGCUGGCUGCGUUUCCUUUACGCAAUUUCGCAAGCACAUUCACCCUGUAUGUCACCUUAUCUUGGAAC